rnacentral:rRNA from 1 species
UUUGAUUUAAAACGGCUGCAGCUAAAACUACACGAAGGUAGCGCGAUAAAUUGUCUUUUAAUUGGAGGAUAGUACAAAAGGUUGGAUGAUUGGAAAAACUUUAUUAGAAACACGGUAUGAAGUUUACUUGUAAGUGAAAAGGCUUACGUUUUUUUGUUAGACGAGAAGACCCUGUUGAGCUUGGUAUACUCUAACCUUUUAGGUAAGGGCUAGAUUUUGUCGGGGCCGAUGGGAAGAGAAAAAAUGUCUUCUUUAUUAUAUUAGGAUCCAACAUGGUUGAAAAGAAGAAGAAGUUACCACAGGGAUAACAGCGCAAUUUUUUUGUAAAGUUCAUAUUUAAAAAGAAGUUUGCGACCUCGAUGUUGAAUCAGGGUAUCUCCUAGGUGCAGAAGCUUAGAGAAGUGG